CAUUACUGCUGCAGUGGUCCUUGGCUUUCUAUCUGAUUUCCCCUCAACCUCUCCUGCCCAGUGCCUAUGGACUUUAGCUGUGCCCUGGUAUUUCAGGGCCCCAUAGCUCUUUAUGUCUCGCUGACAUGUGCCUCUGUCCUUCAGCCCCUACCAUGCUUUGCUACUGCUCAGUGACGAGAAGUCUCUAUUGAGUGAGCUUCCCAUUGACUGCUCCCCGGCUCUGGUGCGGGUGAUCAAGACCACGUCUGCUGUGAAGAACCUACAGCAGCUAGCCCAGGAUGCUGAUCUGGCCUUGCUGCAGGUCUUCCAGCUUGCAGCUCACCUGGUGUACUGGGGCAAGGCCGUCAUCAUCUAUCCACUGUGUGAGAACAACGUCUAUGUCCUGUCUCCCAAUGCCAGUGUGU
rnacentral:lncRNA from 1 species